rnacentral:rRNA from 1 species
CAGCAGCCGCGGUAAGACAGAGGAUGCAAGCGUUAAUCGGAAUUACUGGGCGUAAAGCGUGCGCAGGCGGUUAUAUAAGACAGAUGUGAAAUCCCCGGGCUCAACCUGGGAACUGCAUUUGUGACUGUAUAGCUAGAGUACGGCAGAGGGGGAUGGAAUUCCGCGUGUAGCAGUGAAAUGCGUAGAUAUGCGGAGGAACACCGAUGGCGAAGGCAAUCCCCUGGGCCUGUACUGACGCUCAUGCACGAAAGCGUGGGGAGCAAACAGGAUUAGAUACCCCCGUAGUCCCUGUCUCUUAUAC